AAAUAUUUAAUAGAUAUUUAGAAUAAAAUGUAUUAUAUUAUUAUAACAUAAAGUAAAUAAAAUAAAAGAAAGAAAUAAACAGAAUAGGCAAGGGACGAAACAGAGAAGAAACAUGGGAGAAAGAAAGAAAGAAUAAGAAAAAGAGAAAGAAAGGAAAAACUAGGGUUUAAGGUUUUAAAGCUUUAAAGGUAAGUCAAUCAAGUCGUUUUCUUUUAAAUUUGAUGUUUUAGAAGUCUUAGAACAAAGUUUUGUUGAAUUUAAACUAAAAUUUUGUAAGUUCUUAGAUUUUCGAAUAUGAUUCAUGUUGAACAAAAAAAUGAAUUAGGGAUUUAAAUGAUAGAAUUUCUAGUUAGAAUAAAAGGAUUAAAUUGUGAAGUAAGCUAUAAGUUUUAUGUUGUAGGGACUAAAUUGAGGAAAAUUUGAAAUUAGUGAAAUAUGCUGAAAAUUUAGUAGUUAAAUUUGAGUUUAGAUAAAAUUUGAAUAGAAAUAGAAUGUGAAUUAAAUUAGAAAAGUAGAUAAAUCUAGUUAGGAUUAAAUUGUAAUUAAAUUAUAAAAUUGGAUAGAAAUUUUAUUAUUAUUGUAAAAUUUGUGUUGUAAUUAAUUAUUUAAUUAUUUAAUUUUCGUAGCUAAUAAAGAAUUCGAGGUAUCGACACAAAAAGGGAAGGAAAAGGUUGUCGAGGAGUAACUGUGAAAUUCGGGUUUGUAUUACUAUAAUUCAAAUUAUUUAUUAUUUUAAUGCUAUAUUUAAAUUUAUAUGUACGGUAAGUGAAAUAUAAGGUAAGUAUUAUUAUUAAGGUGAAAGAAAUUCAAUUGAAUAAUGGAUAUAUGUGUGGAAUUGAAAUGAAUAUUGACUUGAAAAUGGAAAAGUAAAAUUUAAUUGAUAUGUAAAAAUGAAAAGUAUGUGUUGGUAUUGAAUUGUGUUUUGAUUAGUGAAUGAAAAAGUAUAAUUGAUAUUGAAAAUGAAUUCUUGAAAUAAAGGUAAAAAUUGGACUGUGAAAUUGAAAUACCCUAUUAACUAGUCGGACUAAGUCGGAUAUAGUUGGCAUGCCAUAGGAUUUGGAAGAGUACGGGAUUUAUCGGCUUUGUCGAUCAGGCACUUUAUGUGUCGUAUCUCAGGCACUUUAUGUGUCGUAUCAGGCACCCCGUGUGUCGUUUUAGGCAUAUAUGUGUCGUAUACUGAUCAGGUACUAUGCACCGUUUUAGGCACAAUGUGUCGUAUUGGUGUGUUUGGGUUGGAAUCCGUGUAUCUAUCAAAGUCUAGAUAGUUAAUAGGGUGAAUAAUUGAAAUGAGAAAAUCAAAUGAAUUUGAUCGAUUGUAGUAUUGAAUAUGAGGAAAUUUAAAUUUGUGGAUUGAAAUUGAGAUUGAAAACAAAAGGCAUGAAUUUAAUGUUCAAGUAGUGAUUGAAAUUGUUACAUGUGAUAUGUGAUUGAAAUUGAAGAAUAACUAUAUAUUUUAUUGUUAUUGUUAAUUGAUGAAAGUUUAAGAAUUAAUUGAUAAUUAAGAAGAUGGAUAGUUACAUGCUUGGUAAUUCUAUUUCUUUACUGCUAUUAUAAUUUGAAUUAUGGUAAUACCACUGAGUAUAAAAUACUCAGCAUACGGUUGUUUCCUUGCGCAGGUUAAAAAGGAGUCAGAGUCUCAGUUCAGCAUCCAGGACAAUCCCGACUCUAGCAUAAAGAUUUUGGUGAUGUUUUCUUCCUUUAAGUGAAAGUGGCAUGUACA
rnacentral:lncRNA from 1 species